CCGUGCUAGGCGGGGAGGUAGCGGUGCCCUGUACUCGCAAUCCGCUCCAGCGAGGCUGAAUCCCUUCCUGAGGCUUGCACUCUGUAAGGCCUGCCUCAAGUAAGUGGUGUUGACGCCCGGGUCCUGCGCAAUGGGAACCCAUGAACCAUGUCAGGUCCGGAAGGAAGCAGCAUUAAGUGGACUAUCUCAUGUGCCGCGGGGUUGCCUGGGCCGAGCUAACUGCUUGAGUAACGCUUAUGGAUGCAUGUCGACGGAAGGUGCACGG
rnacentral:SRP_RNA from 2 species